rnacentral:rRNA from 1 species
GACGAACGCUGGCGGCGUGCUUAACACAUGCAAGUCGAACGGAAAGGCCCUGCUUUUGUGGGGUGCUCGAGUGGCGAACGGGUGAGUAACACGUGAGUAACCUGCCCUUGACUUUGGGAUAACUUCAGGAAACUGGGGCUAAUACCGGAUAGGAGCUCCUGCUGCAUGGUGGGGGUUGGAAAGUUUCGGCGGUUGGGGAUGGACUCGCGGCUUAUCAGCUUGUUGGUGGGGUAGUGGCUUACCAAGGCUUUGACGGGUAGCCGGCCUGAGAGGGUGACCGGCCACAUUGGGACUGGGAUACGGCCCAGACUCCUACGGGGGGCAGCAGUGGGGAAUAUUGCACAAUGGGCGGAAGCCUGAUGCAGCAACGCCGCGUGCGGGAUGACGGCCUUCGGGUUGUAAACCGCUUUCGCCUGCGACGAAGCGUGAGUGACGGUAAUGGGUAAAGAAGCACCGGCUAACUACGUG